GUUGAAAAUCACCUGUGGUUUUGACCAUGGCCAUGGGUAAGAUGGUGUAGCCCAGAGCCAGUGGGGCUCAGGACUCACUCUCCAGUGUAGAGAGAUGAAGCCGUGGCACCUCCUGCC
rnacentral:snoRNA from 1 species